UCUCACUCUGCCACCCAGACAGGAGUGCAGUGGUGCAAUGUCAGCUCGGUGCAACCUCUGCUUCCUGGGUUCAAGUGAUUCUUAUGCCUCAGCCUCCUGAGUAGCUGGGAUUAUAGGCACCUGCCAUCAUGCCUGGCUAAUUUUUGUAUUUUCAGUAAAGAUGGGGUUUCACCAUUCUGGCCAGGCUUGUUUUGAACUCCUGACCUCAAGUGAUCCACCUGCCUUGGCCUCCCAAAGUGCUGGGAUUACAGGCAUGAGCCACUGCAUCAGGCCUGGAUCAGCAUUUUAAAGAUGGCGUCACAAUGGCAAAGAAACCAGUCAGUGCUUUGUGAUCCUCCGCCCAGUACAGGCACAGCAGGGCAUCCAGAGAAGAUAGGAGUCCCAAGUUGACACCUGCCACAUUCUUGGCUCAGAACAGCUGUGGCUGGGAAGGUCCAUGGGCCAGGGAGCGGGUGAUGAAGGACUUCAGCAUCUUUAUCAGCGCCCCCCCACACAGACGGCAGCUGCGGCCUAGCCCCCAGGCUUCACUUGGCGUGGACAACUUGCUAAGUAAAGUGGGGGGUGGGCCACGGCUGGCUCCUACCUGGACAGGCCUCCAGCUAACUCCGGGCUUGCACAGCAAAUACAAGAAAAAAAGAAACAGAAAAAUCAGUUCAUGUGCCCUUUCCUGACUUCUCCUGGCACCUACAGCCCUGACUGCAGAGAUGGUCCCGUGGUCCCAAGACAGAGGCUGGAGAACAUCCUAAAGAGGAAAUUUCAAGAAAGCCCUGUAUUCCAGCACAGGAAGCAGGAAUGUCUUAAGCCACACUGCGCUGUUUCUGCUGGAGACAUCUCCCUGCUCUCAAACCUUCCUUCACUGAUGAAGAACAUGAGUCUUAGAGAAGUCAAAGAAGUUGCCUAAGGUCACAUGAGCAGUGAGCAGAGGAGUUGCUUACCUUUGUUAGACUCCAAAUCCUGUGUGACUAUGAAACUCAUUAACUGAAACAACCCGGCACCUUUGGACCUGUGCAGGCAAAGGCAAGGGAGUUGACCAGGAGCACACAGCACAGACGAGAACAGUCCCAAAGCCUUUUGCUGUAUCCCAUCUGUGCAAACCACUCCCAAUAAACAAACAAACAC
rnacentral:lncRNA from 1 species